rnacentral:rRNA from 1 species
CGGGGACGGGCGGGGGUCUUACCAUGCAGUCGAACGAUGACUUCUGUGCUUGCACAGAAUGAUUAGUGGCGAACGGGUGAGUAACACGUGAGUAACCUGCCCUUGACUUCGGGAUAAGCCUGGGAAACCGGGUCUAAUACCGGAUACGACCUCCUGGCGCAUGCCAUGGGGGUGGAAAGCUUUAUGCGGUUUUGGAUGGACUCGCGGCCUAUCAGCUUGUUGGCGGGGUAAUGGCCCACCAAGGCGACGACGGGUAGCCGGCCUGAGAGGGUGACCGGCCACACUGGGACUGAGACACGGCCCAGACUCCUACGGGAGGCAGCAGUGGGGAAUAUUGCACAAUGGGCGAAAGCCUGAUGCAGCGACGCCGCGUGAGGGACGAAUGCCUUCGGGUUGUAAACCUCUUUCAGCAGGGAAGAAGCGAAAGUGACGGUACCUGCAGAAGAAGCGCCGGCUAACUACGUGCCAGCAGCCGCGGUAAUACGUAGGGCGCAAGCGUUAUCCGGAAUUAUUGGGCGUAAAGAGCUCGUAGGCGGUUUGUCGCGUCUGCUGUGAAAGCCCGGGGCUCAACCCCGGGUCUGCAGUGGGUACGGGCAGACUAGAGUGCAGUAGGGGAGACUGGAAUUCCUGGUGUAGCGGUGAAAUGCGCAGAUAUCAGGAGGAACACCGAUGGCGAAGGCAGGUCUCUGGGCUGUAACUGACGCUGAGGAGCGAAAGCAUGGGGAGCGAACAGGAUUAGAUACCCUGGUAGUCCAUGCCGUAAACGUUGGGCACUAGGUGUGGGGGACAUUCCACGUUUUCCGCGCCGUAGCUAACGCAUUAAGUGCCCCGCCUGGGGAGUACGGCCGCAAGGCUAAAACUCAAAGGAAUUGACGGGGGCCCGCACAAGCGGCGGAGCAUGCGGAUUAAUUCGAUGCAACGCGAAGAACCUUACCAAGGCUUGACAUGAACCCGGUAAGACCUGGAAAACAGGUCCCCCCACUUGUGGCCGGGUUUACAGGUGGGUGCAUGGUUUGUCGUCAGCCUCGUGUCCUUGAAAAUGUUUGGGUUAAA